AGCUGCGGGGCUGCCGCCCCCUGCUGGGCAGCGGGUUGCCUGGCGCGUCCCCUGCAGCGUCACCGGCCGCUUCGCCUGCAGCCGGCGGGGCGGGGUCGCCGCCGCUCCCGGCAGCCCCUGCGCGGGGCGAGCCCGGGAGUUGGUGUCAGGACCCCUUCCACAUUGAAGUGUUCCCAAAACUAGACACAGUUCUGCAGCCACGAUCUUACUGGAGGAAUUAUUUCAUGAGUGAUUCCUGCUUCUGUAGCCCAGUACGAUAUUUACUUUCUUCACAGUGGUCUGACACGGCUGAUCCAUGUUCCAUCUGUGAUCAUCUCUAAUCUCAAAUCCUUAAGCACUUCCAUGAAGUCAGCUCUACAUGUUGUAUUAGCACAGCUGAUUCUUCUUACCUAAAUGUCAUACUUUGUAUUUGUCCUAAUUGAACUGCACCCUAUUUAUUUUAGAUCAUUUAUCUAAUUUGUCAAGAUCUCACACACAGCACUUAACUUUUCCCCAAAAAGUCAGCCCCUCAAAAAUUGGGCUGUGUGUAUGAGGUGGGACGCUGAUUUUGUCACUGGGAUAGAAGCACCCUGCUUUUAUUCCUGCUUCACAGUGCAGCAGGUGUUGCACUAUCAUGCAGGCAACAGGAGGAGUCAGUUGACUUCAUGGCUCAUAGUUAUUCACUCCAAAAGUGUUAACAGUCAUCUCUUCUUUCUAAUGGGCUUGUCAAGCUAACCUUUCUUAGGGCAAUUUUGCUGUCUGCUAGCUUCUCCUGUUCUCUCCCCUCCUAGCUAUCUCUUAUCAAAAUCAUAGCUCCACCCAUGGAGACCAGUCUUCAGGAGCAGCUAGGGUUUCAUUUACUUAAUAAGACAUUAAAAAAUGGCACUUUAAACUCAGUGCACUCCUACACCAAGCCCAACACAUGUCCAGAAGAGGCAACGCGUUAAUUGGACCCAGCUUGCCCAACAUCUGUACAGACUGAAUCGGCUUUAGAUAAAAGUGCCAGAAAGCCCCGCUGAAGCAUCCAAUCUAUACAGAUGCUGUGGACCUGGGUCAAACUACCAUUCUGCUUCUUUCGGUAAAACGUGCUUUGGGGAUUUUUAUUUGAACAUCUGUAAGCAGCCCUGAAGAUUAGGCUCUGUCGCUGCCCUAUGCAGCCAUAGCUCUGGGGGAAAAAAAAUCUUUGUUUAUUCAUUCUGCCUUUCAAGAAAAAGUUGCAUGUUAUAUUGCAGAGCACUGAUGACUCUGAAACUCAAGCUAAGCUGGGGUCUACUCACAACAGUUAAAAUACAAAACAGUGAUGCAAACUGCAUCGUGCAAGAGGAUGCUAGGCCAUCUGAAAAGAAAUAAUGAGUUAUCACUUCUAGUUUAUCUUACUAUAUUUGUGAUGAUUUUAAGCAGGCUCCUAGUUGUCUGGUACAUAUCUGUGUAAAAUGUCUAUCCUUGAUUAAUUAGUAUGGUAAAUAUUUCUUUUGCAGUUAACUCAUGUUUAUGUAGAGUCAUUCUACAUAUGAGAUCUAUGUUUCCUCUUGAUUUACUCUUGUUUUGCUGCUUCUUACUGAUUUACUUUUAUUUUUUGCCCAGUAGUCCCCUUGAUCUUCCAAGGAUACUCCUCAAAAACCUUGUGUUUUUCCUGGUUGUUAAUCAGUCUCUUGAUACAUUCCAAACUUAGUAGUAUUUCAUUCACAAUGGAACUUUCUGAUAACCAAUAAUGAGCAGUUCGAUUACCAGGAUUUUCCUGCCAAUUACUGCUUGGGUCUCUCUUGGUUUACAUAACUACAAGAAUGCUUUGAAGAUGCUGAGCUAAAGGAUAUAAGAAGAAGGAUGAAACAGCUAACAGCACGUGCUUAAAGAAUGAACAAUCCUUCUGACAAUGACUGCUGCUGCUCCCAGCUUUCUUCUAGGUGAGAGGAUCCACACCUAGAUAAGCUGCCAAGAAUCAGACCGUCUUCCUGUCGCCUGUGAGAAAUUAUCAUCUUUUAGCUAAAUAUUGGACUUUGCUUUGGUUUGGACUCAUUUAACCCUGAAUACUUGUAGUAAAUAAAGCCUUUCUGUCAUUUAUCGAACAA